CCUGGAAACAGAUGCUAAUACCGCAUAACAACUUGGACCGCAUGGUCCGAGCUUGAAAGAUGGCUUCGGCUAUCACUUUUGGAUGGUCCCGCGGCGUAUUAGCUAGAUGGUGGGGUAACGGCUCACCAUGGCAAUGAUACGUAGCCGACCUGAGAGGGUAAUCGGCCACAUUGGGACUGAGACACGGCCCAAACUCCUACGGGAGGCAGCAGUAGGGAAUCUUCCACAAUGGACGAAAGUCUGAUGGAGCAACGCCGCGUGAGUGAAGAAGGGUUUCGGCUCGUAAAACUCUGUUGUUAAAGAAGAACAUAUCUGAGAGUAACUGUUCAGGUAUUGACGGUAUUUAACCAGAAAGCCACGGCUAACUACGUGCCAGCAGCCGCGGUAAUACGUAGGUGGCAAGCGUUGUCCGGAUUUAUUGGGCGUAAAGCGAGCGCAGGCGGUUUUUUAAGUCUGAUGUGAAAGCCUUCGGCUCAACCGAAGAAGUGCAUCGGAAACUGGGAAACUUGAGUGCAGAAGAGGACAGUGGAACUCCAUGUGUAGCGGUGAAAUGCGUAGAUAUAUGGAAGAACACCAGUGGCGAAGGCGGCUGUCUGGUCUGUAACUGACGCUGAGGCUCGAAAGUAUGGGUAGCAAACAGGAUUAGAUACCCUGGUAGUCCAUACCGUAAACGAUGAAUGCUAAGUGUUGGAGGGUUUCCGCCCUUCAGUGCUGCAGCUAACGCAUUAAGCAUUCCGCCUGGGGAGUACGGCCGCAAGGCUGAAACUCAAAGGAAUUGACGGGGGCCCGCACAAGCGGUGGAGCAUGUGGUUUAAUUCGAAGCUACGCGAAGAACCUUACCAGGUCUUGACAUACUAUGCAAAUCUAAGAGAUUAGACGUUCCCUUCGGGGACAUGGAUACAGGUGGUGCAUGGUUGUCGUCAGCUCGUGUCGUGAGAUGUUGGGUUAAGUCCCGCAACGAGCGCAACCCUUAUUAUCAGUUGCCAGCAUUAAGUUGGGCACUCUGGUGAGACUGCCGGUGACAAACCGGAGGAAGGUGGGGAUGACGUCAAAUCAUCAUGCCCCUUAUGACCUGGGCUACACACGUGCUACAAUGGAUGGUACAACGAGUUGCGAACUC
rnacentral:rRNA from 2 species